AGAGAGAUCCAUCUUAGGAGGAGGGUCGUCAGAUCCAGGCAGCAGAGUCCGGGAGAUAGCCAUUCUCAACAGCGAUUCCAGGGAUCUCAGGGUACUUUUCUCAGAAAGCCCCUAUGAUCUCUUUUACAGACUCUAUGGUGGCCACGCGCUGGGUGCCACAUCCUCUUUCUGCCCCCGGCCUCUGCCUCUGGCCAGGGUUUCCCUGGGGCUGCCGAAGCCACUUUGGGAGCUUCCCUUUCACCCUCCUUGCUGGGCCACCAGUGCUUUGUGUUCGCAGCGUUAUUUGCAGUGGCUUUGGGGACUCAGCAGUGGCAAGUCCCUGUGCAUAAUGUGAACCUGCAGACUUCAAGAUGGGGCCCCUCCUGCACCCACUAACAUGUCUGCCUUUUUUUGUUUUUAUCCUGGAACAAGUGGAGAAAUGGCAGAGCUGGCUGACUCUGGGGACCCUUCCCUUUUUCCCAUGGCUUCAUUUCUUCCUCACCACAACUAAUUCGGGGAGCUGAGAAGUCACACAGGGUAUUCCUCUCCCUUCUCUGAUGUUAUUAAUUAAUAGACCAGAGAAUAAGGUUGCAGAUAUUACAUUUGUUGUGUUUUUGUGUUUUGUUUUUUUUUUUAAGGAAAAUCCCAAACAAAGCCCAGCAUGAUUUGAGAAAAGAGGAUGUUUUCCCAGGGAAAAUAAUUUUUUUAACCUGCCUGAGAAUGAUUUAUUUAUUUGUUGGAGGCCAUUGGUCAGACAGCCUGGAGCUUGGGCUGUGGAAGAUUUCAAAAGCAUAGGGCUGUGGUCUCUGGAAACCUAUUACAGCCUGCAGCUGUGAGCUGAGCCAGUGACGAGGUCCCUGGAAACUCAGGAAGGCUGACAGGUGGGCCUUGGGGUAUUGGUUUGUGGAGAAGGAAGCAUUCUUUAGGCUGCGGCACUCCUUAUAGUUUCCCACCCACCGAGUGACAUUCAGGCAGAAAUUGAGCUCAGGAGACAGCCAGCCUUCCCACAUCCCACUUCACUUCCCGGUCCACACGUAAAGCAGUGUGUCUCCAAGGAGGCAGUGAGCAAUUCCCAAGGUCCCCGUGUUGUGAGAAGCGCGCUGCUUUCUCCCUUUGCAGGGGAAAAAAAAGGCUUUCCUGGUGAGAUCAUGAGUCCUUCCGGCUUCAUUUCUCAUUGUGGGUUUAACUUCUAAAACGCAAAUGGAGUUUAGAGAGGAUGAGCAGAACCACAGGACCUGCCCCCAUCUCUCACUCACUGCAAUUGCUUCUACUCUGGGCACAAGUAGGGUGUCUGAAGACCAUGUUUCCCUCUGGUUCUCUAGUUUGCAGAUAACACAGAAGACACUGGCUAGAACCUUAAGCUUUCUGCCAAAAAGAUGCAGAGAGCAGGGCAGUAGCUACUGGCAGUGGGGUGUGAAUAAAGAGUCCUUUCACAACCAAGUUCACUGAGGAUUUGGAGCACCAGCUUCCCAGCAGUAUCGAGGGGUGGAGAGGUGUACAUUCAGGUGGAGGGGUACAUCUAGGGGUGGAGAGGUGUACAUUCUAGAAACAGCUGUUAACACACUCCACUUUAAAGACAGCAAGCUAGACCUGCAGGAUCAAAGCCACACACUGUGGUAGGGGUUACAAAUGUUUAUGGGGCCCAGAAUACUAGCAUAGAUGCGUGAAAUGGUUGGUGUGAGGCAAAAGGGCAUGGUGGGGGCAAGGAUGGGGACUGUGGUCUUACUGGCAUGCACGUGACCUACCCAGAAUGAGCAGCUGCUACUCAGCCCCAACCUGUCAUUGUUUGUAAAAAUGUAAGCACAGUGUAGUGGAAUCUUCCAAUUUGGAAGGGAAGCCGGAAAUCCAGAUUUAAUGGAAAAAAUCUGAUUUUUCAACGUCGGGUUGUUUGUUUGUUUGUUUUUGUUUUUUUUAACAGAUAGUGGGCAAAGAAAAAUUCCACUGUUCCACGUGUACACUGCCAGCAACCUCUGCUCUCUGGAGAGGUGGUUUAAAGUGAGAUUAUGCAUUGCCCUGGUAGAAGAGGAAAAAAGCCAGCAUCAGGUCAGGGCAAAAAUAACAGCCCAUGUUGAACUCGGAAUGGGGACCUCUUGCUAAGUCAUUCCACUCCUCAAGAGACCAUUCCACAGAGGGGGGAUGGAUCAUUCAGCUCUCCUGGUCCCAAGAUUGUGCUGAAGGGAAGAAGGAAUAGAAUCUGGAGAUCUGGACUGCUGCCCCUUAGAUAUGCAGAGGUCCACAUCUGCCUGGGGCUACAGCUUGUGGGACUCCAUCAAACCAGGCCGAAAUGGCAAAGACAGUCUAGGAGGAGGAGGAGGUAGGGUGUGAAACAGCCAGGCUCUCUCCAAAUCCCAAGUGUUGACACAGCCAUCUUGUCCCAUCCCUGGAAGCCUCUUUGGAAACCACAUAGAGCUGUGCUGGCUCACGGGAUGUCCUGUUUGCUUCUGCCUCAGUUACCUUACUUUGCCCAUGGGUCUACCACAGGCGCUACCUCAUUGUGUCUGCUGAGAAGUUUACCUGGGAGGGGGGAACAAAGUUGUCCAAAUCUGCUUGAGCUGAAUGUAUGAUCUAUGCAAAUUCUCUCUCUCCUCUCUCUCUUCCUCUCUGGCUCUCUUAGAAGUUUUUUUGUUUUGUUUUGUUUUGUUUUGUGUUUACCUUGCAAACAAGAUACUGUAUAGGACCCUCUUAAGAUGGAGGAGGGCUUUCUUGCGCCACCUGUGUCUACCCCUCACGUUGUCUUUGGCUCUGGUCUUACCAGGCGUAUGCAGGGAGAAAGUGACCUCUCUUCCCUCUCCACUUGGCUGGGAAUAUUCCAACUGCCUCUGCCUACAGAUACCACCAGAAAGCGGGUUCUGCACCUUGUCAUCCCCCUCCCUAACGUCAUCUACUCCAUCCCUCAUGUUCCUCCAACUUGCUUCUCCCAUCCCUCCUUCAAAAACAAAACAAAACAAAACAAAAGCCUUAGGUUUCUCCUUUUUGAAAUGUGGCCUUAACAUUAUUUUUGGGAAGCUGACCAUCCAUCCUUUCCCUCCCAUCUCCACCAACAUCAGAGAAGACAGCAUCGUGAAGCUUCUGUGGCAGCCUCCUAAGGAAGGGGCUGCCAAUCUGUAGUUGGCAGAUGCUAUAGGAAUUGCUUACAAAUGUCGUCUUUAAGAAAAAUGUUCUUAUAUUUUUCCUAUGGGCAAAAUGAAGGCUUGGGUGCUCAUCUAAAGCUCAGCCAACUCCUGAAGCACUCUCUCAGAGCAUACUGCUGCUGUAAUGGGCUGGCUUAAUUAUCGGCAGAGUGCUUGAAAAGGCUUUGCAGACCUCCCCUGCCCCCAAGACUGGGUGACUUUAUAUGUACUUCAUUCAAGGGUAAAUCAGGAGACGUUCUCCAUUUAUCUCUUCGUCCUUCCUGCCUGGAAAGUGAUAGCACUAAAUAUUCCCAGCAGAUGGGUAGUGUUCUCAAAGGAAUCACCCUUUCCCUACCUUCAGACUCUAUUCUUUACCCUUCCAUUGCUCCAGUGCUGAUGGAGGCCAAAGACAACCCCAGGGUUUUCAUAGGAAAUUCACUGGAAUUGUGCGCAAUUGUCUUUGUAGUCCUUUUGCCUUUUUUUUUUUUAAAUAUUAUGUUGUCAAUAGCAUUUGUUUGGGUAUUUGUUUUAGAGGCCUCACUCUAAGUUAUUACCGUCCCCUUCAUUGUUUUCAAAGACAUGUGGUGAUAUAGUUUUUAAAAAUAACUAUUUUGUUAUAGAUCAUAAUAUGCAUAAAACUGUACAGAAAUAUUUUGUAAUGUGUUGAUUUUAAAAAAAAUCUGUAAAUAAAGUUUUAAAAAAAGAAUUCAAAUGGCACACGCUGAAAUAUGUAGAUAUUUUGCUAUUUAUUUAAAGGAGUAUUUUAAGAGAUAUUGAACUAUCUGAAAUUGACCAGUAAUCAAAGUUCCAAUCAUCUGAAUGCUUUUCCUUGAGGUAGAAUGUGAGUCUCAGAAAUGACUGCAUUACCUGCCCUUUUUUGCACCUUUUCUGUCUUUUUAUUUUGCAGAACAACAACAACAACAAAAUUGUGCCUUAGCUGUAUUUUUUUGUCUAGGGGAGUUUGUUUCUGUCUGACAAAGCAACAUUUUUUGCAGAAAACAGUGGAUGUAUUAAAUACUGUAUCAUACCAAAAACACUGCAGGUGUAUAUAGAUGCUUUCUGUCAUACUGUGUUUUCAGAUGCAGAAUUUUAAAAUUAAAAAAACACUGCCUUUAUGGAA
rnacentral:lncRNA from 1 species